UACGGAGGGGGCUAGCGUUGUUCGGAAUUACUGGGCGUAAAGCGCACGUAGGCGGCUUUGUAAGUUAGAGGUGAAAGCCCAGGGCUUAACCCUGGAAUUGCCUUUAAGACUGCAUCGCUAGAAUUGUGGAGAGGUAAGUGGAAUUCCGAGUGUAGAGGUGAAAGUUCGUAGAUAUUCGGAAGAACACCAGUGGCGUAAGGC
rnacentral:rRNA from 1 species